ACACUGCAGUCGAGCGGAGAGAGUAGCUUGCUACUGAUCUUAGCGGCGGACGGGUGAGUAAUGCUUAGGAAUCUGCCUAUUAGUGGGGGACAACAUUUCGAAAGGAAUGCUAAUACCGCAUACGUCCUACGGGAGAAAGCAGGGGAUCUUCGGACCUUGCGCUAAUAGAUGAGCCUAAGUCGGAUUAGCUAGUUGGUGGGGUAAAGGCCUACCAAGGCGACGAUCUGUAGCGGGUCUGAGAGGAUGAUCCGCCACACUGGGACUGAGACACGGCCCAGACUCCUACGGGAGGCAGCAGUGGGGAAUAUUGGACAAUGGGCGGAAGCCUGAUCCAGCCAUGCCGCGUGUGUGAAGAAGGCCUUAUGGUUGUAAAGCACUUUAAGCGAGGAGGAGGCUACUUUAGUUAAUACCUAGAGAUAGUGGACGUUACUCGCAGAAUAAGCACCGGCUAACUCUGUGCCAGCAGCCGCGGUAAUACAGAGGGUGCAAGCGUUAAUCGGAUUUACUGGGCGUAAAGCGCGCGUAGGCGGCUAAUUAAGUCAAAUGUGAAAUCCCCGAGCUUAACUUGGGAAUUGCAUUCGAUACUGGUUAGCUAGAGUGUGGGAGAGGAUGGUAGAAUUCCAGGUGUAGCGGUGAAAUGCGUAGAGAUCUGGAGGAAUACCGAUGGCGAAGGCGGCCAUCUGGCCUAACACUGACGCUGAGGUGCGAAAGCAUGGGGAGCAAACG
rnacentral:rRNA from 1 species